UACGUAGGGUGCGAGCGUUGUCCGGAAUUAUUGGGCGUAAAGGGUCGGUAGGUGGCCGAUUAAGUCAGACGUGAAAUCCCUCAGCUUAACUGGGGAACUGCGUCUGAUACUGGUUGGCUUGAGUGCAGGAGAGGAACGCGGAAUUCCAGGUGUAGCGGUGAAGUGCGUAGAUAUCUGGAGGAACACCGAUGGCGAAGGCAGGUCUCUGGGCCACUACUGACGCUGAGAAGCGAAAGCAUGGGGAGCGAACAGG
rnacentral:rRNA from 1 species